rnacentral:rRNA from 1 species
GAGUGGCGAACGGGUGAGUAAUGCAUCGGAACGUGCCAUUGAGUGGGGGAUAACGUAGCGAAAGUUGCGCUAAUACCGCAUAUUCUGUGAGCAGGAAAGCAGGAGACCGCAAGGCCUUGCGCUCUUUGAGCGGCCGAUGUCAGAUUAGCUAGUUGGUGAGGUAAAGGCUUACCGAGGCGACGAUCUGUAGCGGGUCUGAGAGGAUGAUCCGCCACACUGGAACUGAGACACGGUCCAGACUCCUACGGGAGGCAGCAGUGGGGAAUUUUGGACAAUGGGGGCAACCCUGAUCCAGCCAUGCCGCGUGAGUGAAGAAGGCCUUCGGGUUGUAAAGCUCUUUCGGCCGGGAAGAAAUCGCAUGGGCCAAUACCCUGUGUGGAUGACGGUACCGGAAUAAGAAGCACCGGCUAACUACGUGCCAGCAGCCGCGGUAAUACGUAGGGUGCGAGCGUUAAUCGGAAUUACUGGGCGUAAAGCGUGCGCAGGCGGUUUUGUAAGACAGGCGUGAAAUCCCCGGGCUUAACCUGGGAACUGCGUUUGUGACUGCAAGGCUAGAGUACGGCAGAGGGGGGUGGAAUUCCACGUGUAGCAGUGAAAUGCGUAGAGAUGUGGAGGAACACCAAUGGCGAAGGCAGCCCCCUGGGUCGAUACUGACGCUCAUGCACGAAAGCGUGGGUAGCAAACAGGAUUAGAUACCCUGGUAGUCCACGCCCUAAACUAUGUCAACUAGGUGUUGGGUGGGUAAAACCAUUUAGUACCGUAGCUAACGCGUGAAGAUGACCGCCUGGGGAGUACGGCCGCAAGGUUAAAACUCAAAGGAAUUGACGGGGACCCGCACAAGCGGUGGAUGAUGUGGAUUAAUUCGAUACAACGCGAAAAACCUUACCUACCCUUGACAUGCCAGGAACUUGCCAGAGAUGGCUUGGUGCCCGAAAGGGAGCCUGGACACAGGUGCUGCAUGGCUGUCGUCAGCUCGUGUCGUGAGAUGUUGGGUUAAGUCCCGCAACGAGCGCAACCCUUGUCGUUAAUUGCCAUCAUUUUUGGGCACUUUAACGAGACUGCCGGUGACAAACCGGAGGAAGGUGGGGAUGACGUCAAGUCCUCAUGGCCCUUAUGGGUAGGGCUUCACACGUCAUACAAUGGUCGGUACAAAGGGUUGCCAAGCCGCGAGGCGGAGCCAAUCCCAGAAAGCCGAUCGUAGUCCGGAUUGCAGGCUGCAACUCGCCUGCAUGAAGUCGGAAUCGCUAGUAAUCGUGGAUCAGCAUGUCACGGUGAAUACGUUCCCGGGUCUUGUACACACCGCCCGUCACACCAUGGGAGCGGGUUCCGCCAGAAGUAGGUAGCCUAACCGCAAGGGGGGCGCUUACCACGGCGGGGUUCGUGACUGGGGUGAAGUCGGAACAAGGUA